CCGGCGCACGGUGAGUAACGCGUAUGCAACUUGCCUAUCAGAGGGGGAUAACCCGGCGAAAGUCGGACUAAUACCGCAUGAAGCAGGGGCCCCGCAUGGGGAUAUUUGCUAAAGAUUCAUCGCUGAUAGAUAGGCAUGCGUUCCAUUAGGCAGUUGGCGGGGUAACGGCCCACCAAACCGACGAUGGAUAGGGGUUCUGAGAGGAAGGUCCCCCACAUUGGUACUGAGACACGGACCAA
rnacentral:rRNA from 1 species